rnacentral:rRNA from 1 species
UACGUAGGUGGCGAGCGUUGUCCGGAUUUACUGGGCGUAAAGAGCGCGCAGGCGGUCGUGCAAGUCGCGUGUGAAAGCCCCCCGGCUCAACUGGGGAGGGUCACGCGAUACUGCUCGACUCGAAGGCAGGAGAGGGAAGUGGAAUUCCCGGUGUAGUGGUGAAAUGCGUAGAUAUCUGGAGGAACACCGGUGGCGAAGGCGGCAUCCUGGACCGACACUGACGCUGAGGAGCGAAAGCCAGGGGAGCAAACGGG